GCCCCGCCCCUUCCCCCGCCCGGGCGGCCAUGGCCAUUCCCGGCAUCCCCUAUGAGCGACGGCUUCUCAUCAUGGCGGACCCUAGAGAUAAGGCGCUUCAGGACUACCGCAAGAAACUGCUGGAGCACAAAGAGAUUGACGGCCGUCUCAAGGAGUUAAGGGAACAAUUAAAAGAACUUACCAAGCAGUAUGAAAAAUCUGAAAAUGAUCUGAAGGCUCUACAAAGUGUUGGGCAGAUUGUGGGUGAAGUACUUAAGCAGUUAACUGAAGAAAAAUUCAUUGUUAAAGCUACAAAUGGACCGAGAUAUGUUGUGGGUUGUCGUCGACAGCUUGACAAAAGUAAGCUGAAGCCAGGAACAAGAGUUGCUUUGGAUAUGACCACACUAACUAUCAUGAGAUAUUUGCCAAGAGAAGUGGAUCCAUUGGUUUACAACAUGUCUCAUGAGGACCCUGGGAAUGUUUCUUAUUCUGAGAUUGGAGGGCUCUCAGAACAGAUUCGGGAAUUAAGAGAGGUAAUAGAAUUACCUCUUACAAACCCAGAAUUAUUCCAGCGUGUAGGAAUAAUACCUCCAAAAGGCUGUUUGUUAUAUGGACCACCAGGUACAGGAAAAACACUCUUGGCACGAGCUGUGGCUAGCCAGCUGGAUUGCAAUUUCUUAAAGGUUGUAUCUAGUUCUAUAGUAGACAAGUACAUUGGUGAAAGUGCUCGUUUGAUCAGAGAAAUGUUUAAUUAUGCCAGGGACCAUCAGCCAUGCAUCAUUUUUAUGGAUGAAAUAGAUGCUAUUGGUGGUCGUCGGUUUUCUGAGGGUACUUCAGCUGAUAGAGAGAUUCAGAGAACUUUAAUGGAGCUACUGAAUCAAAUGGAUGGAUUUGAUACUCUGCAUAGAGUUAAAAUGAUCAUGGCUACCAAUAGACCAGAUACACUGGAUCCUGCUUUGCUUCGUCCAGGCAGAUUAGAUAGAAAAAUACAUAUUGAUUUACCAAACGAACAAGCAAGGUUAGAUAUAUUGAAAAUCCAUGCAGGUCCCAUUACAAAGCACGGUGAAAUAGAUUAUGAAGCAAUUGUGAAGCUUUCAGAUGGCUUUAAUGGAGCAGACCUAAGAAAUGUUUGCACUGAAGCAGAAGGAAAUGGCAACCCGCUCCAGUAUUCUUGCCUGGAAAAAAUCCCAGAAACAGAGGAGCCUGGUGGGCUGCCAUCUAUGGGGUCGUACAGAGUCGGACACGACUGAUGCGACUUAGCAGCAGCAGCUGCAAACCAUACAUGCGCUCCCUCCUUCCAGGGGAUUGCUGCAUGUAGAGUUAAGAAAGAGCUGCCUACAAUGUGUAUGUUUGCAAUUCGUGCUGAUCAUGAUUUUGUAGUACAGGAAGACUUCAUGAAAGCAGUCAGGAAAGUGGCUGAUUCUAAGAAGCUAGAGUCUAAAUUGGACUACAAACCUGUGUAAUUUACUGUAAGGUUUUUGAUGGCUGCAUGACAUCUCUUGGCUUAAUUUAAAAAAAGUUAAGGAAAAUAAUGUAUGUAUUGGCAAUGAUCUCAUUAAUAGCAUAUGAAUAAAAAUGUGUAUGAAUAACAUUGUAAAAAUUAGUAAUUCAGUAAUUCUGCUUUUAAGAAGUACAGAGGAAAUUUGUAUGUUUGUUAAUGUUGCAUUUAUUGCAGCAGAAGUCAGAAGAGUAUGUUGAAGCUUUUUGUAUUUGCUGUAUGAGUAUUUUGUAAAACCUUGAAAAUGGUUUGAGAUAGUAGUACCAGGGAGCAUUUCUUAUGACUUAUUUUAUAUCACUUGUUUUCCUCAUCCUAAAAAGUUUAAUAAAAUCUGUUUAAUUCA